rnacentral:rRNA from 1 species
CACGCAGGCGGAUUGAUAAGUCAGGGGUGAAAUCCCGGAGCUCAACUUCGGAAUUGCCUUUGAUACUGUCUGUCUUCGAGUUCGGGAGAGGUUGGCGGAAUUCCUAGUGUAGAGGUGAAAUUCGUAGAUAUUAGGAAGAACACCAGUGGCGAAGGCGGCCAACUGGCCCGAUACUGACGCUCAUGUGCGAAAGCGUGGGGAGCAAACAGGAUUAGAUACCCUGGUAGUCCACGCUGUAAACUAUGGAUGCUAGCCGUUGGGGAGCUUGCUCUUCAGUGGCGCAGCUAACGUUUUAAGCAUCCCGCCUGGGGAGUACGGUCGCAAGAUUAAA